CGGGGCUUAAAGUCUUGUAAUUGGAAUGAUGGGAAUUUAAACCUCUUCCAGAGUAUCAAUUGGAGGGCAAGUCUGGUGCCAGCAGCCGCGGUAAUUCCAGCUCCAAUAGCGUAUAUUAAAAUUGUUGCAGUUAAAAAGCUCGUAGUUGAAUUUCUGCUGCAUUGCUUGUGUCCCUCUGGGGUCUGUGCAUGUGGCUUUUUUCGGACGGAGUUUCUUUGUCUGAAUGUUUACUUUGAGAAAAUUAGAGUGUUCAAAGCAGGCUUUCGCCUUGAAUAGUUUAGCAUGGAAUAAUAAAGUAGGACUUUGGUUCUAUUUUGUUGGUUUUAGGUACCAAAGUAAUGGUUAAUAGGAACAGUUGGGGGCAUUCGUAUUUAACUGUCAGAGGUGAAAUUCUUAGAUUUGUUAAAGACGAACUACUGCGAAAGCAUUUGCCAAGGAUGUUUUCAUUAAUCAAGAAC
rnacentral:rRNA from 1 species